AUUGAACGCUGGCGGCAUGCCUAACACAUGCAAGUCGAACGGUAACGCGAGGAGCUUGCUCCUUGGCGACGAGUGGCGGACGGGUGAGUAAUGCUUAGGAAUCUGCCCAGUAGUGGGGGACAACUCGGGGAAACUCGAGCUAAUACCGCAUACGCCCUACGGGGGAAAGCGGGGGAUCUUCGGACCUCGCACUAUUGGAUGAGCCUAAGUCGGAUUAGCUUGUUGGUGAGGUAAAAGCUCACCAAGGCGACGAUCCGUAGCUGGUCUGAGAGGACGAUCAGCCACACUGGGACUGAGACACGGCCCAGACUCCUACGGGAGGCAGCAGUGGGGAAUAUUGGACAAUGGGGGCAACCCUGAUCCAGCAAUGCCGCGUGUGUGAAGAAGGCCUGCGGGUUGUAAAGCACUUUCAGUAGAGAAGAAAAGCUUACGGUUAAUACCCGUGAGUCUUGACGUAACCUACAGAAGAAGCACCGGCUAACUCCGUG
rnacentral:rRNA from 1 species